GGUAGCUGUAGGGCACAUUUUUCUGGCUUCUGCCGAUUUGCCAUAUCAGCAACAUUUGAGCCAGCUGAAUGACUGCCUUUGGAGAUGGGGUUUCUCAGGAAGGACAUUGCACAAUCAGAAAAUGUUGAUCUGCCAAGGCUGUAACAUUUUUUUCCUGGAGCCCUGUCAGGAAUGUGUCACAGGAGGUGGGGGAGAUGGACCAUGGAACAGAGAAUACUAGGCCCCAGCAACCAGGUUUAAUAUGGAGAGUGGCUACUAAACUGAGAAAAAUUUGAAUCACUGUGAAAUCCUUGGUUGUCAACUUGAUUGUUUUUACCAUGAGUAUUUCCCAGGCUCUACCUUCCACCAGUACAGAGCAUCCCUACAGAAAGCAAUUUUCCUGCAAAGAGCAAACACCUUCAGAGCUCAGAGUAGCCGAUAGAAAAGUAGCAUCAAGAUGUUGCUCUCCACUUGAAGGAAAUUUUGCAAAACAAAUUGGAUUCAGCUGAAAUUGGCCAACCUUAGGAGAAGAACAUAAUUUCUUCUUUCCUUCAGUACCAAACUGUAGGAUUAACAAAGAAUAAAGGGGAAUAAAAAUGCAAAA